GUGGACACGUAGAAAGAAGCAUGUAAAUAUUUGAUUUCUUUGAGAAUUCAUUCUAGUUUUAGAGAACUCAUAUGCUGAUACUUAAUUCUUAGAACAAGAAACGUUAUUUCUUUUUUUGGCAAUCAUGGCAGCGUUACUUUUUCUCUUUAAUGAGCAAAAAUAUAAUUCCCUUAAGAAUAACGUACGAGCUUAAGUCUUCACUUCGAUAUCGUUGUUCCGUUUUGUGGUGUUGUUAAAUCCGGGCUUUCUUUGAAGUAAAGUAAGGUGGAAGAAGAUUAUUUCUUGGAAUAUAAGACUCGCAGGUUCCAGAAAUGAGACAUGGGAUGACUAAGUAAGCGACGAGGUACAGAUACUCGACUUGGUGAUCCUCCAGCUUAGGACUUAUACUCAGUUGUCUUGGAGAGCUCCAUUGUUCCGGAGCCUAGACUUUUGGUACAGAUUCUUUUUGAUGUAUAUAUAUGUUUACCAGGGGUACGGCGGGGCCCUGUCCCGUCAUAUUUCACUAUCGAUACUCUUUGAGGUCCGUAGACAUAUGUGUGGGUUGUGUAUAAGUUUUGCUCAGCUGUGUCUGUAUGGUUUGUUAUGGAUAUUCCCUCUUGUAAUGGCAGUUUUGUCGGCUUGCGUAUCGUAUUAUGUUUUGAUUAGCAGUGACUCCUCAGGAGACAGGU